CGCUGGCGGCAUGCCUUACACAUGCAAGUCGAACGGCAGCACGGGGGCAACCCUGGUGGCGAGUGGCCGAACGGGUGAGUAAAGCAUCGGAACGUGCCCAGUAGUGGGGGAUAGCUCGGCGAAAGCCGGAUUAAUACCGCAUACGACCUACGGGUGAAAGCGGGGGACCGAAAGGCCUCGCGCUAUUGGAGCGGCCGAUGUCAGAUUAGGUAGUUGGUGGGGUAAAGGCCUACCAAGCCGACGAUCUGUAGCUGGUCUGAGAGGACGACCAGCCACACUGGGACUGAGACACGGCCCAGACUCCUACGGGAGGCAGCAGUGGGGAAUUUUGGACAAUGGGCGAAAGCCUGAUCCAGCCAUGCCGCGUGCGGGAAGAAGGCCUUCGGGUUGUAAACCGCUUUUGUCAGGGAAGAAAUAUUCCGGGCUAAUACCCCGGGAGGAUGACGGUACCUGAAGAAUAAGCACCGGCUAACUACGUGCCAGCAGCCGCCGUCACACGUAGGGUGCGAGCGUUAAUCGGAAUUACUGGGCGUAAAGCGUGCGCAGGUGGUUAUGUAAGACAGAUGUGAAAUCCCCGGGCUCAACCUGGGAAUUGCAUUUGUGACUGCAUGGCUAGAGUGUGGCAGAGGGGGAUGGAAUUCCGCGUGUAGCAGUGAAAUGCGUAGAUAUGCGGAGGAACACCGAUGGCGAAGGCAGUCCCCUGGGCCUGCACUGACACUCAUGCACGAAAGCGUGGGGAGCAAACAGGAUUAGAUGCCCUGGUAGUCCACGCCCUAAACGAUGUCGACUGGUUGUUGGGAGGGUUCCCUG
rnacentral:rRNA from 1 species